AUACGGAGGGUGCAAGCGUUAUCCGGAAUCACUGGGUUUAAACGGGUGCGUAGGCGGACCGUGGUAAGUCAGAGGUGAAAUGCACGAGCUUAACUGGUGAAUUGCCUUUGAAACUAUCAAGCUAGAAUUAUGUUGAGGUCAGCGGAAUGAGUCAUGUAGCGGUGAAAUGCAUAGAUAUGACUUAGAACACCAAUUGCGUAGGCAGCUGGCUGGGCAUACAUUGACGCUGAGGCACGAAAGCCGUGGGGAGCGAACAGGAUUAGAUACCCUGGUAGUCCACGCCCUAAACGAUUGCUUACUCGAUGUUUGGACUUAGGUUGAGCAUCCAAGGGAACCAUUAAGUAAGCCAACCUGGGGAUACGUUCGCAAGG
rnacentral:rRNA from 1 species